rnacentral:lncRNA from 1 species
UCAGGACCAACUUUUUUCAGAAUAACCAAUGAUACCCCCUGGAUAGCAAAUGAAACACAGACAAGUAUACUCAAGAUUAUCUAAACCACAAAGCUUAUACCUAUGAUUGACAGCAAGAAAAUAACACCAAAUGCAAACAAUUCUAUGAUUAACUUCAACUAGAACUCAGAAUACCAGAAGCAAAGUAGUCAACAUAAGGCCCCAAAUAAUUACAACUUGUAAUACGACAUUGUAGAACUUUUAAUUGUAGAUAUACCACUGGCAUCCGCUAACAUACAACCCCAAAAAAGAAAGAUGAAAAAUUUACAUUCCAGAAAGAUGGAGAGGAAUUCGAACCCCUAAAGACCAAUAGCCUAGUUGUUCAGAACUCGUUAAAAGAUGGUGGAAGAGCUUCAGCUGAAGACAGGAAGAGAAAGACAUCACUAGAUUCAAAAUAACUUUUCAUAUUCAAUGAUUUAAAGGAGCCAAGUAAUGGACAGAAAUAGAACAGCUAUAUAUCUCAUUCUCCAGUUACUUUAAGAAAGUCUCAGAAUGGUUUGUCAAGGCUGCUCCCUCUUCUUGCUUUCUUGUGCCAGGGAGGCAACCACAUUUUUUGUUAUGAUGUUUUAAGUUGCUCCAGAACUGAAAAUUUAAGUAUAAAAUUUACCCUAUCAAAACAAAGGUCUUGACUCUUGACAAAGUCAAGCCUCUUUGAACUUGCUUCUGCGUUUCUGUUGUAAGCUAAAAAUAAAUAUCAGACUUGGAUGAGACCCUGUAUAUUCUUUAUUUGUAUUUGCAUACUUGACUGCAAACUUGCUACUGAGAAGUUCAAGAAAGAUCCAGUAAGUCAUGCUCAUCAACUAAUAUACUUCUACAUAUUACGGAAUAUGAAGAUACCAUGCGAGAGCAAUAUAAAAUGUUACACUAGUAUCAAUUUAUUUUCUUUAAAUAGUAUUGAUCAUAAGUCAUAACCACACAAUAAACAGAAGAAUUAGAAAGACGAUGGAAAAGAUUUUAGUGAAACAAAUCCACUCACUCAACGCCAAAAAGAAGUAAACAGUUAACUUAACAGCAUCUCUAACUGCUUUUUUUAAAACAUGAAAGUAGGAGAUAAGAAGUGACAAGAGGGGUUGCUCUGAUGGUAAGCAACCCUCACUUCCAACCGAGAGGUUGUGAGUUNNNNNNNNNNNNNNNNNNNNNNNNNNNNNNNNNNNCCCCACUUCCAACCGAGAGGUUGUGAGUUCGAGUCUCCCCAAGAGCAAGGUGGUAAGUUCUUGGAGGGAAGGAUGCCGGGGGUCUAUUUGGAAACAGCUUGGGUAGGGGUAAGGUCUACGUACAUACUACCCUCCCCAGACCCCACUAAGUGGGAUUAUACUGGGUUGUUGUUGUUGUUGUUGAAAGUAGGAGAUAAGAAGAGCUAAGACAAGAAAAAUGUCAUCACAGCAAAAAAUUUCCCUACCAGUCAGAUGGCCCUCAGCAUAAUUUUGGUUGUGCUUUGACACAUGAUAGAAAUUUUCCCAGGGAUAUCUACUAAAGCAUAUACUCCAAAAACAAAG